rnacentral:lncRNA from 1 species
GAGGUCAAGUGAAAACUGUCUGACGGGCAUGAGGACCUUGCAAGGUACACACAUACCAAAUAUAGUUAUCCUAUUACUAACAUUUGUAUAAUAAGAGAGAAUUUAACAUUACAAAACAUUUUUCCCUUUUUUCAAGUAGUCACUAAACAAUGAAAAUGAGGUCAAGGACAUUUAACAUGUGACUGACGGAAACUUCGUAACAUGAGGCAUCCAUAUACAAAGUUCGAAGCAUCCACUCCAGGUUUUCUACCUUCUAAAUUAUUAAGCUUUUUAGAAGUUAGCUAUCACUAUAGCCACCGCCGCUGCCAGAUCACUUCCCCUAGGUCAAGCUUUCUGAGACAAAAGUCGCAGGCUCGACAAAAAUCAUUGAUAAUAUCAAUGCACAUGUAUCAAAAACUUGUGUUAAAGCAUGCGGAAGAAUAUCUCAAAGAACGUUUUCCAACAAUACCGGCAAGGACCAAUAACUCUGUAAUUGUUUUUUCAGGGAAAUAUGAAUGAAUACGCGUAUCCAAUCUUUUAGAAAAAUCAAGUUUUGACAGAAAAGUCUCCAACAUGCACUUGCAUAGCACUAUUAUUUGAAUAGUAAAAUAGAAUGAUAUACAAAUGGAUGGAAAUCAUGUAUACAUGCAACUGUUAUUAUUAUUAUAAUAUAUAACAACAAAUCAGUGUAUACUGAUUUAUAUCACUAUAAUAUAAAAGUUAUUACACGUGCUUUAGACCAUCCACAAGAACCUGUGGACAUCCAAUGUUUAGUACUUCAGUACUUUGAUUUAUACAUGAAAAGGUUAUCUUAUAUUUCAACUGCAAACAACUUUUGACCUGAAACUUCAAACACAACAUUUUUUCAGGUUUAUUCUGCUUAUAAAAUAACAUUUCUAAUUAUAACAAAACUAAACAAUAAUACAUGUUUAAAAAACUUCAUUUAUGAAAGUCUUUUUUUAUUUCAGGUGCAAACAACCUUUGACUUAAAACAUAACAAUAUAACAAUUUAUCUUACCUCCUAUACAUUUCUAGUUAUAGCAUUGGUUAAUAGCGUCCAAUGGAGACCGUGUAUAUUCCAUGUUAGGUUAGUAGGGAGGCGGGGCUUAUUUCAUACAUGGUAAGUAGUUGAUGUUAUGCCCCUUUUAUAAAAACAAAAGGAUACUGAGAAAAAAUCUUAAAGGUUUCAACAGACGAAGAAUUUGAUGAAGAUUGAAAUAAAUUUACAAAAUACAUUUAAAGCUAAUAAGUUGUUAUUAUUGGCAUCUGUUUGUAUAUGAUGAAUGGAAGUAGUUUCUUAAUGCUAACGGUAUUGAAAACUUGCUCAUUUUGAUAAGUCACUAGUUGAAAUAUGACAUGUUUAGGUAGUCGGUAAGAUAAAUUUGUUACAUAAUGUGCUAGUGACCUAAUACAGUAUAUAUGGUGUCAGUAAAUUUGUAGUCGCUCUCACCCCAUAUGGUAUUUACUAACCCCAUACCAUAUUAGGUCACUAGCACACUAUAUAACUAAUAAUAAUAGUUAUAACAAAACUCAUCAUUAGAUAGACAUAUAUUGUACAUGCAGUAAUUAAAAUUAAUUACAUAAAAAUAAAAAAUAUAAACUUAACUAAACAAUAAAAAUUAUUACAUUAAAGUACAUAACAAAAACCAUGAUUACUUCCAUUGAUUAAUUAGGUUUUACACCAUAUCUUAUAAAUUAAAAAUUGAACUACAACAAUUAAAUGUUCCAACAAUCAUUAUAUUGAAAACAAAUAUAGAUUUGCAUUAUCAUAUGGAACAUGUGUUACACAUAAAUCUUAGUCUAAGAUUAAAUUAGAAAAAGGAAAGAAAUCAUAAAGUAUGAGGGAAAUGUUAACAAAUUCCCAUCCACUGUUUAAGGUGGUACCUAACACUUUAACAAACAUUUAUUUGGCUCGUUUAAUUUUGAUAAAAUUUUGACAAAGUAUUUACUUUGACCCUUUAACAAAAAUAUAAAAAUUUCAAAAAAUUUUGAACCAACCGUUUUGUCAGAAAAUUAGGUUAUAUAGCAGUUUGACAAACACCAAUUUUGUCUUUGUGAAGCUUAUUAUUCCCUUUACAACACAACGUAAUUAAAACGUUUAGCUGACUUUACAGAGUUAUCUCCCUGUAGUGUUAGGUACCACCUUAAGUUAGAAAUAAAAUUGCAUGUUAGUAAGAGUUGAAAGAGAGUACAAUCUUGUUUUGUGCCUUUAACUAGUCUUUUAAGAGGGUCUGGAUGGAAUUUACACCAUCGAUUCUAAUUAUGAGCCACUACAGCAGAAAAAUGAGCAACAAAAUAAAAGAAAUAAGAGGGAAAUAGGCGAAAAAUAAAGUAUAGAGAAUAAUGGCGUACAAAAGUAAAAAGAAUAGAGCAAAAUGGGAAAUAAAUAUAAAGCAUAUAUAUUUUUAAGAGACUAUUGCAGAUCCAUUUGCUAUAUACAUUAAUUUUCCUUAACAUAAAUCGACAUAAAAAUCAUGCAUUGAACUGAAUACAACCAAUGAAAGCGAAGCUCCAUUUUUACAUGUUUUAUUAAUAUAUUAUGUAUUGAUUCUGGAAACAAAUUUAUUUACAUUUUUUGGCAAUUUUUAAACUAUUUAUCAAUUUAGAAGCACUACAUGUUUGAUCUGAUCAAAAUUUUUCUGUUGUAAAUAAUUUAAAUC